AACGUAGGUAACCUGCCCAUGUGUCCGGGAGUAACUGCUGGAAACGGUAGCUAAAACCGGAUAGGUAUACAGAGCGCAUGCUCAGUAUAUUAAAGCGCCCAUCGAGGCGUGAACAUGGAUGGGCCUGCGGCGCAUUAGCUAGUUGGUGAGGUAACGGCCCACCAAGGCGAUGAUGCGUAGCCGGCCUGAGAGGGUAAACGGCCACAUUGGGACUGAGACACGGCCCAA
rnacentral:rRNA from 1 species